rnacentral:rRNA from 1 species
AAACCCGAGGAACCCAAAAGAUCGAAGGGGGAGAUUCAUCGUCAGCGGUGCAGGCUGCUCGAUGACUCGCGAUGUCGCGGGCUACGGCCCGACGUCACGCGGUCGUCGUGGCAUUGUCCGGUAACGUCGGCGUGCACUUCUCCCCUUGUAGAACGUCGCGACCCGUUGGGUGUCGUUCUAAGGCCCGGAUGGCUGCCUGUCUCGACGUUUCGGCGCAGAGACAGACCACCGGUCGCCAGAACGGCUGCCCGGCGGUACACACACGGUAUAGAGCCGCAGCAAUUUCGAUUGCGUCGGACCCGCCGCAAGCGAGGCCAGUGUCUCCCGGGAAUGCGGAUUUAAUGCCGCCCCCGGUCCUGGCCAGCUGUUGGUAGGCGGUGUUCUCCGACUGGCCGAUUUUACCGGUCGGCGACGCUACUGCUUUGGGUAAUCUCAGGACCCGUCUUGAAACACGGACCAAGGAGUCUAACAUGUACGCGAGUCAUUGGGACCGCAUACCUAAAGGCAAAAUGAAAGUGAAGGUCGACCUCGCGUCGACCGAGGGAGGAUGGAUCGCGUUACGAUGCGACCCCGCACUCCCGGGGCGUCUCGUUCUCAU